AUUGAACGCUGGCGGCAGGCCUAACACAUGCAAGUCGAGCGGAUGAAGGGAGCUUGCUCCUGGAUUCAGCGGCGGACGGGUGAGUAAUGCCUAGGAAUCUGCCUGGUAGUGGGGGAUAACGUCCGGAAACGGGCGCUAAUACCGCAUACGUCCUGAGGGAGAAAGUGGGGGAUCUUCGGACCUCACGCUAUCAGAUGAGCCUAGGUCGGAUUAGCUAGUUGGUGGGGUAAAGGCCUACCAAGGCGACGAUCCGUAACUGGUCUGAGAGGAUGAUCAGUCACACUGGAACUGAGACACGGUCCAGACUCCUACGGGAGGCAGCAGUGGGGAAUAUUGGACAAUGGGCGAAAGCCUGAUCCAGCCAUGCCGCGUGUGUGAAGAAGGUCUUGGGAUUGUAAAGCACUUUAAGUUGGGAGGAAGGGCAGUAAGUUAAUACCUUGCUGUUUUGACGUUACCAACAGAAUAAGCACCGGCUAACUUCGUG
rnacentral:rRNA from 1 species